GAGCGGGCAUCGCAAGAUGUCAGCGGCAGACGGGAGAGUAACACGUGGGAACAUGCCCUUCGGUUCGGAAUAACUCAGGGAAACUUGAGCUAAUACCGGAUACGUCCGUAAGGAGAAAGAUUUAUCGCCGAAGGAUUGGCCCGCGUCCGAUUAGCUAGUUGGUGAGGUAACGGCUCACCAAGGCGACGAUCGGUAGCUGGUCUGAGAGGAUGAUCAGCCUCACUGGGACUGAGACACGGCCCAGACUCCUACGGGAGGCAGCAGUGGGGAAUAUUGGACAAUGGGCGCAAGCCUGAUCCAGCCAUGCCGCGUGGGUGAUGAAGGCCCUAGGGUUGUAAAGCCCUUUCGGCGGGGAAGAUAAU
rnacentral:rRNA from 1 species